rnacentral:misc_RNA from 1 species
CUUGUGAUGACGCUGUUUUGCUCCAAUGCUGGUUACUAGCUUCAGUUAUUUGCUUGAGCUCUUGAAAAUGAGAAGAAGUCAUUGUUUCUGACAUAUCUCCCGCUUUUGAUGAUCUGGUCCGGAUUCUGAGCCCUCUCCUGUAUUAACCUAGGAUGCACGGAAACGGGAGGCGGGAGCGUUUCCCCGUUCUGGAAACGUUUCCUCGCCGGAAACGUUAGGACACGGCGAGGAAACGUCUCCGGGCCGUUUCCGUAAUUCCUUGAAAUCGGAAACGCGUUUCCUCCGGACCGGUUUUUUAAAAAAAAAAAAAAAAGGUCGCACCUCAAGGAAGAAAGGAGAAGGC